rnacentral:rRNA from 1 species
UACAGAGGGGGCAAGCGUUUGUUCGGAAUUACUGGGCGUAAAGGGCGCGUAGGCGCCUUCUAAGUCGAACGUGAAAUCCCCGGGCUCAACCCGGGAACUGCGUCCGAUACUGGAAGGCUUGAAUCCGGGAGAGGGAUGUGGAAUUCCAGGUGUAGCGGUGAAAUGCGCAGAUAUCAGGAGGAACACCGGUGGCGAAGGCGGUUCUCUGGGCAUGUCCUGACUGAGGAGCGAAAGUGUGGGGAGCGAACAGG